rnacentral:tRNA from 1 species
GAUAGGGUGGCUGAAUUUUUAGGUUAUAAAUUGUAAAUUUAUAUAUGAGUUAAAACUCCUUUAUCA